ACUUGAAUAAUUUAAUUUAAAAUAUCAGUUUGUGGUGCUGGAAAUGUAUGGUUUACUUUGAGUU
rnacentral:tRNA from 1 species